CCGACGGUGAGAGGUGAAAGCUGGGGGCACGAACCGGAUUAGAUACCCGGGUAGUCCCAGCCGUAAACGAUGCUCGCUAGGUGUCUGGGAUGGUGCGACCGUUUCAGGUGCCGCAGGGAAGCCGUGAAGCGAGCCACCUGGGAAGUACGGCCGCAAGGCUGAAACUUAAAGGAAUUGGCGUGGGAGCACUACAACGGGUGGAGCCUGCGGUUUAAUUGGACUCAACGCCGGAAAACUCACCUGGGGC
rnacentral:rRNA from 1 species